AUCCCAUGAUGAGGAUAGGUGGCCACGUACUCCUGUAGCCUUUCCCAUGCUUCAGGAAUCGACUCAUCCCUUCUUUGCUAGAAGCUUGAGAUUCUCAUGUGAAGGGC
rfam:Oryza barthii chromosome 5, whole genome shotgun sequence.